ensembl:snRNA U6 U6 spliceosomal RNA
GUGCUUGCUUUGGCAGCACAUUGACUAAAACUGUAAUCAUAGAGAUUAGCAAGGUCCAUGUGCAAGGAUAACACAAAUUUGUCAAGUGUUCCACAUUUUA